rnacentral:rRNA from 1 species
UAGGGAAUCUUCGGCAAUGGGGGCAACCCUGACCGAGCAACGCCGCGUGAGUGAAGAAGGUUUUCGGAUCGUAAAGCUCUGUUGUAAGUCAAGAACGGGUGUGAGAGUGGAAAGUUCACACUGUGACGGUAGCUUACCAGAAAGGGACGGCUAACUACGUGCCAGCAGCCGCGGUAAUACGUAGGUCCCGAGCGUUGUCCGGAUUUAUUGGGCGUAAAGCGAGCGCAGGCGGUUUGAUAAGUCUGAAGUUAAAGGCUGUGGCUCAACCAUAGUCGCUUGGAAACUGUCAACUUGAGUGCAGAAGGGGAGAGUGGAAUUCCAUGUGUAGCGGUGAAAUGCGUAGAUAUAUGGAGGAACACCGGUGGUGAAAGCGGCUCUCUGGUCUGUAACUGACGCUGAGGCUCGAAAGCGUGGGGAGCGAACAGGAUUAGAUACCCUGGUAGUCCACGCCGUAAACGAUGAGUGCUAGGUGUUGGAUC